UCCUGACCAAUGAGAAUGCAAGCAGCCGCAACGUGUCGACUGACAGCCAAUCGCAGGAGGCGGAGCUGUGACGUAGGCCGUCAGCUGUUCUUGUUUUGCUUCUUUUCCUCUUCUUCUCCGGAUCUGGAUCUCCGAACCCUGAAGGACCCGAACUCACGCCGAAUCCGAGCUCAUCUCCAGGGAGGCCGCAGGUUCCGGUCCGGACGGUUCGGAGCUUUUCUCCGCUGUGGAUUCGUCUUCCGCCGACAUCGAGCGACGAGGUGCUGCCGAUCCCAGGCCUCCAGUCCAGGGCGGAGGGCGGGAAGGAGGCCGCCGGGAUCCAGGAUGGAGAGCACCGAGGCUGGAGGGUCUGGAGCCGACGGAACCGAGCUCCGGUUCGGCUGCGCCUCCUUCAACCAAGACUCCACGUCUCUGGCUUUGGGAACCAGAACCGGCUAUAAGCUGUUUUCUCUGACCAUGGUGGAGAAACUGGACUGCAUCCAUGAGAGUGCAGAGACUCCAGAUGUCUACAUCGUGGAGCGUCUGUUCUCCAGCAGUCUGGUUGUCGUGGUGAGCAGUGCCAUGCCAGAGCGCAUGAACAUCUACCACUUCAAGAAGGGCACGGAGAUCUGCAACUACAGCUACCCCGAGAACAUCCUGGCUGUCAAGCUUAACCGACAGAGACUAGUGGUGUGCCUUGAAGAGUCCAUCUACAUCCACAACAUCAAAGACAUGAAGCUGCUGAAGACUCUGCUCAACACUCCGUCCAACCCCUCAGGUCUCUGUGCUCUUUCCAUCACUCAUUCCAACUCCUACCUGGCAUAUCCGGGCAGCUUCAGCACCGGGGAGGUGGUCGUGUACGACACCAUCAGUCUGAACACUGUCACUGUGAUUCCUGCUCAUGAUAGUCCUCUAGCAGCCCUCACCUUCAACGCUUCAGCCACCAGACUCGCCAGCGCCUCAGAGAGGGGCACCGUCAUCCGAGUCUUCUCUGUUCCUGAAGGACUACGUCUGUUUGAAUUCCGCCGAGGCAUGAAGAGGUACGUCAGCAUCAGCUCUCUCUGCUUCAGCCCCGAUGGUCUCUAUCUGGUCUCCUCCAGCAACACAGAGACCGUCCACAUCUUUAAACUGGAACCACUGGGACCAAGUGCUGAGGAUGAAGCUGCCUCCUGGACAGCGUACAUGGGGAAGAUGUUCUCAGCAGCUUCCACCUAUCUACCUGCCCAGGUGUCUGGGAUGAUGAGUCAGGACCGGGCCUUUGCCACCGUUCACCUGCUGUCAGCUGCUCAGAGGAACGUCUGCACUCUGGCUGUGAUCCAGAAGCUUCCCCGGCUGCUGGUGGCUACAGCUGAAGGCCAGCUGUUCAUCUACAACGUUGAUCCUCUUCAGGGUGGCGAGUGCACGCUGGCCUUCAAACACAGGCUGUUUGGAGCUGAGGAUGAGCAGAGCGAAGGAGAACCUGAAGGGUUGGAGGUCCCAGCUCAGUCCUGUCCAUCCUACGCUGAAACUGCUGCUUUACCUCCGUCUGCUCCGGUUACUGCAACCCUGACCGGCUACUCUGAAGAUGGCGGCGCUAAGAAAGGAGAAGUCAUUCCAGAACACGAGUUUGCUGCUGGACCUGUUUGUCUGGAUGACGAGAACGAGUUUCCUCCUAUUAAUUGGUGUCGGAACGGGACCGGAGGCGUCCAGGUGAGGCGCUCCUGAGCAGGUAGAAGAACAGAAGGACAAACAACACUUCAGGGUGCCAAGAUCCUUCACAGUAGAGACGACCGCUCACUUCCACUAGCAUUAAGCUAAAGAACAGCAGCAUGUUCCAGAACACCUGUACAGCAUUCCUGGAGGCUGAAGAGCAGCUGAUCAGAGUCAGUUUAUCACAGAGGCAACACAGAAACAUUCACACCUGCAGCCAGUUAAGAAUCACUAAUUAACCUCUGAAUGUGUGGACUGAGGGAGGAAGCUGAAGCAGAAGACCAGAUCCAGGACCUCCAGCUGGGUGAUGUUCUCCAGCUGUGUUCUUUAUCAGUUCAGCAUUAUUUAAUCUGAUAAUAAUAUAAAGGUUGUAUUGUGCAACUCCAUUGUGUGACCUGAAAACCAACAGGACUAGAUGCUCCUGGUUCCAGUGGAAGAAGAUAAACAUCUGACAGUGGAACAUGAAGGAUGGAACCCAGGUCUCUGUGGCAAAGAGCAGCAGCAUGAAACCUGAGACCCUCUGUUGCUUACAAGAACUUUAUUGUGCUUUUCACUGUGAGGAGAAUGAGGCAAGUCUCUGAGUGUCAGUUACUGUCUAAUCUAACUUGUUGGUUUUUGUCCUGGACUGGAAUCUCAGACACAAUGUGAUAAAGCAGCUGAUAGAUAGAAAAACCCUCAGAGGGUCAACAGGAUCUGAGCCUAACAGGAAGAAAUAACAAACAGAGUUGUGAACCAUCUUUAUCAACAGUUCCUGUCUCAGGACUGACUUCAGCUCUGUUACAUAAGUCCUGUAAUCAGGUUGGACUUCAGACUGCAGCGAUUAGACUGUCAGAGUGAAAAGCAAACCAGAGGCAUCCUGGGCUUCGUUCAACAUGAUUCUGUCUCUUCAAUGGAUUCUUGGGUUGACCUUCAUGACUUCUUGACCAUAAAAUGCACUUAAAAAGAUCACAAGAGAUUCUUGAACACUUUUCAGUGGUUUAGUAACAACCAGUUUGACAUUUAGAACCUUUAACAGCUACAGUAGAACCAGAAGUUUAUAUCCACUGAUAAAGGCCAUGGAGGGUUAGGGCUCCUAGACAAUCCUGUAUUUUGGUUCUUUCAUAGAUUUAUUAAAGGUCUUUAGCAAAUAUGACAAAAUCUGCUGGAUCAUAAAAGUUCAUACAGAAAUAAUGUCCUUUAGUCAUUUCCACCUCAGUUGGGUUCUUCUGGUUUCCGUCCAGAAGCUUCUGGUUGAUCUUUGACUCCUCUGGACUGGUUCAGUUUCACUAAACUUCUUGUCUUUCUGGGUCAGACUUGGUUCUUCAGGUUCUAGUUUGGUUUAAAUCAGGACAUUGGAGAGACCAGUCUAGAACCUUCACUGAGUUCACUGAGAGGUCACCAUUCGGGACCAACGGUUUCAAAGGGAGGGAUUCACGUGCACUAAUUUCACUAACAUGUACGUGAGCUGGACUGGUUGCCAAGACAACGAAGCUGGAUUAAAAGUGUGACGACAUCA